CUUCUCCUCAAUUCGAUUUCAUCUUCAAUUUCAUUAAUUGAAGCUUACCAGAUUUCUCCUUUUCUGGGUUUCUUCACUGCCACCACACCUCCACCUUAAAUUCUCGACUUUCCGGCGACUUCCUUUGGCUUUUGGGAUAACUUGAGGUGAGCUUGGCUAGGCCUAGGGUGAUUUCUGGGCAGCAGCGAAACGAGGUGAUCAGAGGAGCAAUCUAUCACCACUUCUGCAUUUCUGGAAAAAUCGAUGAGAGUUGAUGCUACGAGAUCGAGUAGUGGAGCAGCAGGAGUAGCUACUUCUAUUGAUUUAGAUAACAGCUGGGAUUCUACACCUCAUUCCAGGCUAGUCCCUACUGGGCAAGCGAGGACGACGCUCACUCCUGCAAUAGUUGUCUUGCUGGUCCAAUUGUUAUUUCCGGAGCUAGGAGCGUCAUUUGAGAGUUAGUGUUUCAUGUUCACCCUUAUGCAUCUCAUUCUCAUGUCUUGUACCAAUGUAUUCGAGUAAAGUUUCCCGGGGUUGAUUCCUUGUGUUGUAGCCACCUUCAUUUUGUAUUAAAAAUUGGGUUGUCUACUUGUUUAAUUUGGGCCGGUGGCAUUAACACUACCUUCUGUAUUCUUGUUAUAUAAAUUUACUUAUAUUCGCGGAAAUGUA